CGCACAUUGCGCCCUCUGGUAUUCCGGGGGGCAUGCCUGUUCGAGCGUCAUUACAACCCUCAAGCUCUGCUUGGUAUUAGGUCUCACCUGUAAAGGCGGACCGUAAAAUCAGUGGCGGUGCCAUCUGGCUUCAAGCGUAGUAAUUAUUCUCGCUUUGGGAGACCGGUUGAGUGCUUGCCAACAACCCCAAUUUUUUUUAAAGGUUGACCUCGGAUCAGGUAGGGAUACCCGCUGAACUUAA
rnacentral:misc_RNA from 1 species